AUGCCGCGUGAGUGAUGAAGGCCUUCGGGUUGUAAAGCUCUUUCGCACGCGACGAUGAUGACGGUAGCGUGAGAAGAAGCCCCGGCUAACUUCGUGCCAGCAGCCGCGGUAAUACGAAGGGGGCUAGCGUUGUUCGGAAUUACUGGGCGUAAAGGGCGCGUAGGCGGUACUUCAAGUCAGGCGUGAAAGCCCCGGGCUCAACCUGGGAACCGCGCUUGAGACUGGAGAACUAGAGUUCGGGAGAGGAUGGUGGAAUUCCCAGUGUAGAGGUGAAAUUCGUAGAUAUUGGGAAGAACACCGAUGGCGAAGGCAGCCAUCUGGACCGACACUGACGCUGAGGCGCGAAAGCGUGGGGAGCAAACAGGAUUAGAUACCCUGGUAGUCCACGCCGUAAACGAUGAGUGCUAGACGUUGGGGCCCUUAGGGCUUCGGUGUCGCAGCUAACGCAUUAAGCACUCCGCCUGGGGAGUACGGCCGCAAGGUUAAAACUCAAA
rnacentral:rRNA from 1 species